UCUAAAUAUAGUUGUGGGUUUUUUUCCAACGUUUGACCGUCCGUUUUAUUUAAUUCUUUUUAUGAUUAAUAUUUUUGUUGUUAUUAGAUGAUAAAACAUGAAUAACACUUUAUGAGUGACUUGUUUUUUUUAAUUUUUGUAAUAACUUUUUCAAUUGAUAUGAAUGCUCGAAAUCGACAACUACCCUAAAGGAGACGGCUCCU
rfam:Oryza sativa (indica cultivar-group) chromosome 7, whole genome shotgun sequence.